UACGUAGGGGGCAAGCGUUGUCCGGAAUCAUUGGGCGUAAAGAGCGUGUAGGCGGUCCGAUAAGUCGGCUGUGAAAGUCCAGGGCUCAACCCUGGGAUGCCGGUCGAUACUGUCGGACUAGAGUCCGGAAGAGGCAAGUGGAAUUCCCGGUGUAGCGGUGAAAUGCGCAGAUAUCGGGAGGAACACCAAUGGCUAAGGCAGCUUGCUGGGACGGUACUGACGCUGAGACGCGAAAGCGUGGGGAGCAAACAGG
rnacentral:rRNA from 1 species